AAUCCGACUCGCUAGCAAUAAUAACUUGUUGGGCCUAAACUACUAGCCCAAAAUGCUUAAAUUCAAUUAUUAUUACUAUUAUCCAUGGUCUCUUAUAACCCAAUUAUAACUCUAUUCCCAUCCAAUAUGUGACUAUUGAGGUGUCACAGUCUUCCCCCGUAGUCCUGACGUUAUUGUCAGCCCAAUCACACACAUAGCUCAA
rnacentral:lncRNA from 1 species